rnacentral:rRNA from 1 species
AACUUAAAGGAAUUGACGGGGGCCCGCACAGCGGUGGAGCAUGUGGUUUAAUUCGAUGAUACGCGAGGAACCUUACCUGGGCUCAAAUGUAUGUUGACGUAUUCUGAAAGGGAUACUUCUUCGGACAAUAUACAAGGUGCUGCAUGGUUGUCGUCAGCUCGUGCCGUGAGGUGUCGGGUUAAGUCCCAUAACGAGCGCAACCCCUAUCAUUAGUUGCCAUCAGGUCAAGCUGGGGGACUCUAAUGAAACUGCCUACGCAAGUAGUGAGGAAGGUGGGGAUGACGUCAAAUCAGCACGGCCCUUACGUCCAGGGCUACACACGUGUUACAAUGGCCGGUACAGAGGGCAGCCACCCCGCGAGGGGGCGCGAAUCCCGAAAGCCGGUCCCAGUUCGGAUCGGAGUCUGCAACCCGACUCCGUGAAGCUGGAUUCGCUAGUAAUCGCGCAUCAGCCACGGCGCGGUGAAUACGUUCCCGGGCCUU